AUUGAAACAAAUUUCAUUUUUUAGAAUUUUUGCAUCUUUCGAGGAAAAAAAAAAAAAAAAAGAAA
rnacentral:ribozyme from 1 species